UCUGGUGGUGAUGGCGCGGUGGACACACCUGUUCCCAUUCCGAACACAGAAGUUAAGCACCGUAGUGGCGACGAUAUCCGAAAGGACAAAAUAGCGAGCCGCCGGGC
rnacentral:rRNA from 1 species